rnacentral:rRNA from 1 species
UACAGAGGGUGCGAGCGUUGUCCGGAAUCACUGGGCGUAAAGGGCGCGUAGGUGGUGACCUAAGCGUGCGGUGAAAGCCCGAGGCUCAACCUCGGGUCGGCCGUGGGAACUGGGUCACUGGAGCAGAAUAGAGGCAGGUGGAAUUCCGGGUGUAGCGGUGGAAUGCGUAGAGAUCCGGAAGAACACCGGUGGCGAAGGCGGCCUGCUGGGUUCUGGCUGACACUGAGGCGCGACAGCGUGGGGAGCAAACAGG